UACGUAGGUGACAAGCGUUGUCCGGAUUUACUGGGCGUAAAGAGCGCGCAGGCGGUCGAUCAAGUCGAGUGUGAAAGCCCCCGGCUCAACUGGGGAGGGUCAUUCGAUACUGAUCGACUCGAAGGCAGGAGAGGGUAGUGGAAUUCCCGGUGUAGUGGUGAAAUACGUAGAUAUCGGGAGGAACACCAGUGGCGAAGGCGACUACCUGGCCUGUUCUUGACGCUGAGGCGCGAAAGCUAGGGGAGCAAACGGG
rnacentral:rRNA from 1 species